rnacentral:rRNA from 1 species
CCUACGGGUGGCAGCAGUGGGGGAUAUUGCACAAUGGGGGAAACCCUGAUGCAGCGACGCCGCGUGAGUGAAGAAGUAUUUCGGUAUGUAAAGCUCUAUCAGCAGGGAAGAAAAUGACAGUACCUGACCAAGAAGCCCCGGCUAACUACGUGCCAGCAGCCGCGGUAAUACGUAGGGGGCAAGCGUUAUCCGGAUUUACUGGGUGUAAAGGGAGCGUAGACGGUUAUGUAAGUCUGGAGUGAAAGCCCGGGGCCCAACCCCGGGACUGCUUUGGAAACUGUGUAACUGGAGUACAGGAGGGGCAACCGGAAUUCCUAGUGUAGCGGUGGAAUGCGUAGAUAUUAGGAGGAACACCAGUGGCGAAGGCGGGUUGCUAGACUGUAACUGACACUGAGGCACGAAAGCGUGGGGAGCAAACAGGAUUAGAUACCCGUGUAGUC